UACGGAGGGGGCUAGCGUUGUUCGGAAUUACUGGGCGUAAAGCGCACGUAGGCGGUUUGGAAAGUCAGGGGUGAAAUCCCGGCGCUCAACCCCGUAAUGGACUUUGAAACUCCCAGUCUCGAGGUCGAGAUAGGUGAGUGGAAUUCCCAGUGUAGAGGUGAAAUUCGUAGAUAGUCGGAGGAACACCAGUGGAGAAGGCGGAUCACUGGCUCGAUUCUGACGUUGAGGUGCGAAAGAGUUGGGAGCAAACAGG
rnacentral:rRNA from 1 species